UACGGAGGGUGCAAGCGUUGUCCGGAAUCACUGGGCGUAAAGGGCGCGUAGGCGGCUCAUGAAGGCUGUGGUGAAAGUCCGGGGCUCAACCUCGGAUCGGCCGUGGCGACUCGUGGGCUGGAGCACUGUAGAGGCGGGUGGAAUUCCGGGUGUAGCGGUGGGAAUGCGUAGAUAUUCGCAAGAACACCAGUGGCGAAGGCGGCUCACUGGCCCGAUACUGACGCUGAGGCACGAAAGCGUGGGGAGCAAACAGG
rnacentral:rRNA from 1 species